rnacentral:lncRNA from 1 species
GCAACUUGGAGGGAGGAACCCCUAUAGAGUUCCAAGGAGGCCGAUCCCCUAAAGAGAUCAACCCCAAGUUUAGAAUCUGCAAGGGUUCUAACACCUGGUAUCAGAGCAGCGUUCUUGGCAUCUCGCUGCCCUUCCACAGCCAUCCAUCAACCCUCCACAACCGCUCAAAGCAAUUCCCACAAUUGCUUAAAAGGUCGUCACC